CUCAGAUCCUUUUUCCCCUUCAUCUUUUCCCCCAAUCUCCGUCGAAACUCAAUCCAAUUACAGAUGGUCGGAGGCUUUGAAGUGGGAGCUGUCCCCUACAACCCGGACGGUUGGGGUCCCCCGGACUCUACUGCCACUCUCGUCGCUUCCUCUAACCUCCCUCUCAAUGUCCCCUUUGCCCCAUUCUCUCGCUCCGAUAAGCUUGGCCGGAUCGCCGAUUGGACCCGAACCAUGAAUAACCCUGG
rnacentral:misc_RNA from 1 species